AAAUUAAUGGUUGUAUCAAUUUUGGCUCAAUAUUUCAACGUUUUCCAUUUUUUACUUCUCAGUUUUAUCCAACGGUUCUUUCAAGGGUUUCUUACGUUUAUUUAAAAAUGAUGGGCCUGUAGGACUAUAUCGGAUGGAUCUAAUGGAUGAUCAAAUUUAGGUCGUGUUUGUUGUUUGAUUUUCAAGUCCAUCUAUUAUAUAUUUUCGACUGCCUGGUUUUUUACUCGAUACCAACAGUAAUGAUGAGUUAUUGUCCUGCAUUGUUUAUUAAAUAUUGGUAUUAAAUACUUGCGUGGUUACCUUCAUCAAGAUUGAUAACAAAGUAUGGUAAGAUA